rnacentral:rRNA from 1 species
CAGUAGCCGCGGUAAUACAGAGGGUGCGAGCGUUAAUCGGAAUUACUGGGCGUAAAGCGUGCGCAGGCGGUUUGUUAAGACAGAUGUGAAAUCCCCGGGCUUAACCUGGGAACUGCAUUUGUGACUGGCAAGCUAGAGUAUGGCAGAGGGGGGUGGAAUUCCGCGUGUAGCAGUGAAAUGCGUAGAUAUGCGGAGGAACACCGAUGGCGAAGGCAGCCCCCUGGGCCAAUACUGACGCUCAUGCACGAAAGCGUGGGGAGCAAACAGGAUUAGAGACCCGCGUAGUCCCUGUCUCUUAUAC